rnacentral:ncRNA from 2 species
GUUGCCGCCCUUGCGACAGGUUCCCCGCGAGGGGAUCAAAAGGGAACUCGGGUGAAAGCCCCGAGGCUGCCCCUGCAACUGUAAGCGGCGAGCCAUCGGCCAUUACGCCAUUGGGACCCCCUAAGGUCCUGAGAAGGCGGCCGAAUCGGCACUGACCCGUGAGCCAGGAGACCUGCCUGACGCAGUCGUUCUUC